rnacentral:rRNA from 1 species
GGAGUUAGCCGGUGCUUCUUCUGCGAGUAACGUCACAGAUGUAAGGUAUUAACUUACACCCUUUCCUCCUCGCUGAAAGUGCUUUACAACCCGAAGGCCUUCUUCACACACGCGGCAUGGCUGCAUCAGGGUUUCCCCCAUUGUGCAAUAUUCCCCACUGCUGCCUCCCGUAGGAGUCUGGGCCGUGUCUCAGUCCCAGUGUGGCUGAUCAUCCUCUCAGACCAGCUAGGGAUCGUCGCCUAGGUGAGCCUUUACCUCACCUACUAGCUAAUCCCACCUGGGCUUAUCCAUCAGCGCAAGGCCCGAAGGUCCCCUGCUUUCCCCCGUAGGGCGUAUGCGGUAUUAGCAGUCGUUUCCAACUGUUAUCCCCCACAAAUGGGCAAAUUCCCAGGCAUUACUCACCCGUCCGCCGCUCGUCAUCUUCAAAAGCAAGCUUUUGAAAUGUUACCGCUCGACUUGCAUGUGUUAGGCCUGCCGCCAGCGUUCAAUCUGAGCCAGNCAACACUCACUCAGCGGCGGUCGCGACGGACGGCGACUAG